UACGUAGGGACCAAGCGUUGUUCGGAUUUACUGGGCGUAAAGGGCGCGUAGGCGGCAAUUCAAGUCAGCUGUGAAAUCUCCGGGCUUAACUCGGAACGGUCAGCUGAUACUGCUUUGCUAGAGUGCAGAAGGGGCAAUCGGAAUUCUCGGUGUAGCGGUGAAAUGCGUAGAUAUGUGGAGGAACACCAGUGGCAAAGGCGGCUCUCUGGUCUGUAACUGACGCUGAGGCGCGAAAGCGUGGGGAGCAAACAGG
rnacentral:rRNA from 1 species